rnacentral:rRNA from 1 species
CGUAGGGUUCGAGCGUUGUCCGGAUUUAUUGGGCGUAAAGAGCUUGUAGGCGGUUUGUCGCGUCGGGAGUGAAAACUCAGUGCUUAACACUGAGCCUGCUUCCGAUACGGGCAGACUUGAGGAAGGUAGGGGAGAUUGGAAUUCCUGGUGAAGCGGUGGAAUGCGUAGAUAUCAGGAGGAACACCAGUGGCGAAGGCGGAUCUCUGGACCUUUCCUGACGCUGAGAAGCGAAAGCGUGGGGAGCAAAUAGGCUUAGAUACCCUGGUA